GAGUGUCGAGCAACAAGGCAAGCAUAGAUAUCUCCGGAGCGGCACGACCGGUCUCUGGAAGUCUCUGGAAUCUUCUUCUAUAAUAAAUUGCUCCUCUCCUCCACCUCGCUUCCGUUGCCCGCGCCACCGUCUUGGUUCGUGGUCGAUCUCAGCCGCCGAGGAAUUCGACACGCCCACCGGCGAGGACACGAUGGACGUCCCAAAUGGCGACCCCGCCCUCCAGAUCGGCGAUUGGGUCAGAUGUAUAUCUGGUUUCCUUUCUUUUUCUCUUUCGGUUCUUUUUGUCUUUGGGCGUAUCUGCGGUUGGUCUGGUGGCUUUUAGUGGUUUCUGGGUGGAAAGGGUCCGAUCUCUGAGGUGCUGGCGUGCAGUGUAUCUCGCUGGGACGCUGCUCGACGGGACUAAGUUCGACUCCGCCCGUGAUCGGGAUACCCCGUUCAGGUUCAAUCUCGGCCUUGGUGAGGGGGCUUUUGUUUCCAAAUUCUUGCUGUCUUGAUCGAUGAAACUGCUUCUCCUCCCUCUGCGAGUUUGAACAAAGGUCUGCUGUCAGAUGACACAGAACAUGAUCCUAAAAUUGGCAUGCAGAUAACAGGAGCAUUGUGGCUUCAGCUAGAUGUCCAAAGGCGCCUUCAUGAGCAGCUAGAGGUGCAUGCUUCCAUACUGUUGCAGGCAACUCUGAACAAAGGGCUGCUGUCGAUGUCACAGAACAUGAUCUUACAAUUUCACUAAUUAGAGGCGAUCAUACUGCUGCAGUGGCAUGCAGAUAACGGAAGUAUUACGGCUUCAGCUAGAUGACCAAAGGUGCCUUCAGGAGCAGCCAGAGAUGCACUUCAUGAGACUCCUCUUACAGUAAUUUGAUUGAAGUCCUCCUGCUGAAUCAAAAAUAUCAGAAAUGUUUCUCUUUUAUUUUUCUCUUACUAAGACCCAAAGAAAUUUACAGCAGAGGAUAAAGUAGAAUGCUCCAGCAGAUGUUUGAAGAGAAAGUGAAAACAAAAAAAAGUGCUAUUGAGCCUGAAAACCUGGCUAUUUUGUUUUCAAAUUGUCCAGAGAGUCUUAAAGAUGCUCAGUUCUUGUGUGCCCCAGAUGGGUCACAGAACACAUUUCCAAUUGAAGAUUGGUUAGCUUUAAGAUGUAGCAUAUAAUUUCUGUAUAAGUGUGCAUAAAUUUACCAGCUUUCUUGCUGUUUCAUGCUGAUCAACAUGAUUAGUAUCUCUUUGCAGGUUUUAAGGAUGCCUUUUGUAAUAUCCUCAAUUACUCAAAGAGAACUUUCUGUAAGUUGAUGGUAGAUCUCCACUCUGGAUUUAGAAGGGCUUGUAGAAUUCGAUGUAAGCACCAUUUUUAAUUAGUGGAUUAAGUAUAGUGGAAUAUUUGUUUCAGAAAGAGCACAAGGAAUCAUACAUAUAUUUCAUAUGAAUGCUCUAAGGUUCAAUCA